CUCAGCAGCAAAUCACACUUCGUUGUUGGCUCUUUGCUCUUGGCCGUGUCACUCGGCGCAUGACGACACGGCAUACAUAAACGUACUCUAUCGCAGUAACGCAGGCAAAUACUCUAUAGGCAACUCAAAAUCCCACAAGCCUUCAUUCUUCGAAUCCAUUUCAUCCGCCGAAGGCUGCUGCUCUCCCAGGGCUACAAAUCUGACGCGAGUCUUGAUCAUAUCCACCGCUGCGUCAAUCUUAUGCAAGACAACCCUCUUCAAUAAAUCGUCUGCCUGUCCUGAUCCUUCGGAGAUCCAUCUAUUUGCCUGCUCACUCAAGUCUUCCAGAAUCUCUCUCAUGAGAUGUUCUUUCUCUGACGAUGUUUGUCCAUGGAAAGUCACAUUUAUCGCUUUUGGACCAUACAGGAACUUGGACAUACCCCAUUCAUCCUUCAGGAUCAAAGAUGAGGAUGCCGGGAAAGAUCUGCUCCUGUUUUGAACAUGGAACAUGACCGGCAACAUGAUGUUGCGCAGACCUACAAAGGUGUCCAGUUGGAGAAAGCAAGGCUUUAUCGUGGACGCUCCUUCAAGGGGCAUCAUUCCGCCAAAGUCCAUGGACUGCACGAUACCAUAGCCUACAUCAUAUUGAAAAUCCAUAGCCGACUCCUCAUCAAUUCGGUAAUCGAUUUCGCCUUUUACUUUGAACUUUUGAUGGAGAUGAUACUUACUCAAAGCGAUGCUGCAGAGCAUCAAAAGGACGUUAAAAGUUGUCUCAUCGAACGAAUCGUUAACUGGACCCGUAGAGUCGUACCAAUGAUAUUGGUGCUUGUUGACAAAUCUGACUGUCAGAGCGUCGGCUGCUCGGAACAAUCUCGCGAAAGCGUCAUUGAGUUUAUGCGACUCUUUGUUAGCCUCGUACUUUUCAUGUAUGAGAUCUUGCGACACAUUCAUAAUCUUCCUAUCCCGCUUGAUUGGCGCGUCAGGGGGUAAAUGAGGGGUUGACACAUUGGACAUUGCAAGGCGCAGAGCAGCUGAGUUCACUGUACUCUUUUUGAGACCAGGUCGGAAGGUUGAGGGUAGACCACUUUAUUCAAAUGUUCCGCCCAUCUCAAUCCCAGGUACUUAACCCGACAAACAGCCGCUUCAGCCCGCUGGAAGGUUGAAGUAAGUUCAUUCUGUGUCUGAAGCUCAUUUUCAUCAGGCUCUGGCGUGAAUAUGGUAAAGUCCAUGACAAACCCCACCACUGUCUUCCGCCUCGAUACACAGACACGAACAUACUCUUCAGAGAUAUCGGCGCCUGUAGGGGAGAACAUGCGCGAGAUGAUAAAUGCUUGCCCAAUAUACCUCAACCACCUGAUCAAAUCAUCUUGAUGCGCCCCGAUAGCGACUCUCCAAUUUAAUGGAAACAUUUCGGGUAAGUGCUUGGCUUUGUAGGAAGUGGUCGCUCGGUAGUACGGGAUGAAGAACCCUGCCAUGAAUGACACCGCUUUACCCUUUUGGAGUUGUCGUCCUGUCCAUUCCCUUACCAUGCUUCUGAUUUCAGCCGCCGACAUCUUCUUCCAGUCGUAGAAUUUGAGAUCUUCACGAAGUAUCUCAAGGUCAAACCCACAGUCCAUGAGUAAUUUGACGAUCUGAUUGAGUCGGGCUUGGGCUUUACCAGGAACAGAAAGUUUUUGGUCGUCGGUCGGCGGGGCUGAAUACUCUUCGAUGAUCUUGACAAUGUCGAUUUGCUUUUCCACCACAAAUUGGCGGAGAACAUCACUAAUGACCUCUGGUAUGGUGCCGGCCCCAUCGAGCCAGCGAUCUUUUAGCGCUAUUGCGAGUACAUCUUUCCUCAGUCUCGGAUCAAGCAAAUCGAGCGAAGCGAGGUAUUCUGCCC
rnacentral:sRNA from 1 species